rnacentral:rRNA from 1 species
CUCCUGGAAACGGGUGGUAAUGCCGGAUGCUCCGGUUGGAUGCAUGUCCUUCCGGGAAAGAUUUCAUCGGUAUGGGAUGGGGUCGCGUCCUAUCAGGUAGUCGGCGGGGUAACGGCCCACCGAGCCUACGACGGGUAGCCGGCCUGAGAGGGCGACCGGCCACAUUGGGACUGAGAUACGGCCCAGACUCCUACGGGAGGCAGCAGUGGGGAAUAUUGCACAAUGGGCGCAAGCCUGAUGCAGCGACGCCGCGUGCGGGAUGACGGCCUUCGGGUUGUAAACCGCUUUUGAUCGGGAGCAAGCCUUCGGGUGAGUGUACCUUUCGAAUAAGCACCGGCUAACUACGUGCCAGCAGCCGCGGUAAUACGUAGGGUGCAAGCGUUAUCCGGAAUUAUUGGGCGUAAAGGGCUCGUAGGCGGUUCGUCGCGUCCGGUGUGAAAGUCCAUCGCUUAACGGUGGAUCCGCGCCGGGUACGGGCGGGCUUGAGUGCGGUAGGGGAGACUGGAAUUCCCGGUGUAACGGUGGAAUGUGUAGAUAUCGGGAAGAACACC